rnacentral:rRNA from 1 species
GAACGCUAGCGGCAGGCUUAAUACAUGCAAGUCGAACGGUAAGCACCUGCUUGCAGGUGACACGAGUGGCGCACGGGUGCGUAACGCGUAUGCAAUCUACCUUUACCUGGAGAAUAGCCCCGAGAAAUCGGGAUUAAUACUUCAUAAUAUUAUAGAAAGGCAUCUUUUUAUAAUUAAAGUUCCGGCGGAUAAAGAUGAGCAUGCGUGACAUUAGCUUGUUGGUAAGGUAAUGGCUUACCAAGGCAACGAUGUCUAGGGGAUCUGAGAGGAUUAUCCCCCACACUGGUACUGAGACACGGACCAGACUCCUACGGGAGGCAGCAGUAGGGAAUAUUGGGCAAUGGACGAAAGUCUGACCCAGCCAUGCCGCGUGCAGGAAGACAGCCUUACAGGUUGUAAACUGCUUCUAUACGGGAAAAAACCCUCGCUCGUGAGCGAGGCUGAUGGUACCGUAAGAAUAAGGAUCGGCUAACUCCGUGCCAGCAGCCGCGGUAAUACGGAGGAUCCAAGCGUUAUCCGGAUUUAUUGGGUUUAAAGGGUGCGUAGGCGGAAUGAUAAGUCAAUGGUGAAAUCCUACAGCUCAACUGUAGAAGUGCCACUGAUACUGUCAUUCUUGAGUACAUUUGAAGUGGGUGGAAUGUGUCAUGUAGCGGUGAAAUGCAUAGAUAUGACACAGAACACCGAUUGCGAAGGCAGCUCACUAAACUGUAACUGACGCUGAGGCACGAAAGCGUGGGUAGCGAACAGGAUUAGAUACCCUGGUAGUCCACGCCGUAAACGAUGAUUACUCGAUGUUGGCGAUAUACUGUCAGCGUUCAAACGAAAGUUUUAAGUAAUCCACCUGGGGAGUACGACCGCAAGGUUGAAACUCAAAGGAAUUGACGGGGGCCCGCACAAGCGGAGGAGCAUGUGGUUUAAUUCGAUGAUACGCGAGAAACCUUACCUAGGCUUAAAUGUAGAGUGACAUUCCGGGAAAUCGGAAUUCUCUUCGGAGCAAUCUACAAGGUGCUGCAUGGCUGUCGUCAGCUCGUGCCGUGAGGUGUCGGGUUAAGUCCCAUAACGAGCGCAACCCUUAUUCUUAGUUGCCAUCAGGUAAUGCUGGGGACUCUAAGGAAACUGCCUACGCAAGUAGUGAGGAAGGUGGGGAUGACGUCAAGUCAGCACGGCCCUUAUGUCUAGGGCUACACACGUGCUACAAUGGUCAGUACAGAGGGCUGCUACCUGGUGACAGGAUGCUAAUCUCGAAAACUGGUCUCAGUUCGGAUCGAAGUCUGCAACUCGACUUCGUGAAGUUGGAUUCGCUAGUAAUCGCGUAUCAGCAAUGACGCGGUGAAUACGUUCCCGGGCCUUGUACACACCGCCCGUC